GAUGAACGCUAGCGGCAGGCCUAAUACAUGCAAGUCGAACGGUGUCUUCGGACAAAGUGGCGCACGGGUGCGUAACACGUAUGCAACCUACCUUACAUUGGGGGAUAGCCUUUCGAAAGGGAGAUUAAUACCGCAUAAGACAGUAGCUGGGCAUCCAGCAGCUGUUAAAGAUUUAUCGAUGUAAGCUGGGCAUGCGUCCAAUUAGCUAGUUGGUGAGGUAACGGCUCACCAAGGCAAUGAUUGGUAGGGGAACUGAGAGGUCAAUCCCCCACACUGGCACUGAGAUACGGGCCAGACUCCUACGGGAGGCAGCAGUAGGGAAUAUUGGGCAAUGGACGCAAGUCUGACCCAGCCAUGCCGCGUGCAGGAUGAAGGCGUUAUGCGUUGUAAACUGCUUUUAUACAGGAAGAAACGACUCUUGCGAGAGGCAUUGACGGUACUGUAUGAAUAAGCACCGGCUAACUCUGUGCCAGCAGCCGCCGUAAAAC
rnacentral:rRNA from 1 species